rnacentral:rRNA from 1 species
UACAGAGGUGGCAAGCGUUGUUCGGAAUUACUGGGCGUAAAGCGCGUGUAGGCGGUUAUCCAAGUCAGGUGUGAAAGCCUUGAGCUCAACUCAAGAAAUGCACUUGGUACUGGGUGACUAGAGGACCGGAGAGGAUAGUGGAAUUCCCAGUGUAGUGGUGAAAUACGUAGAGAUUGGGAAGAACACCAGUGGCGAAGGCGGCUAUCUGGACGGUUUCUGACGCUAAGACGCGAAAGCGUGGGGAGCAAACAGG